rnacentral:lncRNA from 10 species
AAACACCCUUCCCCUCUGUUUACUUGGACCUGAUUUUGAAAGUAACAAGUCACUUUAUUUGGGCUGGAGGAAAAAGCACUAAACCAGAUGUUGAGGUGACCGGGAUUCCUGGAAGACAUUCUUCUCUCCAACGAGACACAUGAUGCAUGAAGUAGGAGCCCCUGGCAAGGAGCCCAGGCUGCCAUGGCCUCGCUCGCUCCUGCUUCCCGGCAUGGCCCCGAGGCUAGCUGCCUCUGUACUGCCUGAGCAUCGUCCCCUGGCGUGUCACCAGACUACCCACUACCUGUGCUUGCACCUGCAGGUGGGCAGUUCAGUCGUUGCAGGCUGAAGCUCCCUGUCACAGGAGUCCAUCAGCACUGGAGUUUACCAAAUGGCCCAGUCCAGGAAGCAUGCUCAUGGCAAUACCCGGAGUCUCCACUGCAAGACCAGAGUGACGGAGGCAGCAGAGCUCCUCAGCAGGCCAGGAGUCUCCAGAGGCACUGCCGAAUGUCUAAGAAGCAACCUCAUUGUAUUCCCAAGACCUGGGAAUCCAGGUCUCGCAGAUACGAUGAUACAAUCUAUAGCCAGGACAUCUCUUCAUGUGUAGUUUUCAAUGAAUACUAGGAUAAGCAACUAUCCCAGUCUUCCCAGGAUUGAGGGGCUUCUCCAGAUGCUGCACUUCUGGUGCUAAAAAUGAGAAACUGAAAUGAAUUAGUCACCCAAGGAAUGCUGACCCUGUGCUAUAUGAUCACAUUUACUCUUUAAAGCAAUGCUUUGAGGACCUGGCACUGGGCUCGGGGCCGCCCCUGCCCCUGGUCCUUCAGUGUUGCUCAAACUAGAAACAGAAGCCAUGCUGGAAGACAGAGCUGCUGACCUAAG